GAUGAACGCUAGCUACAGGCUUAACACAUGCAAGUCGAGGGGAAACGGCAUCGAAAGCUUGCUUUUGAUGGGCGUCGACCGGCGCACGGGUGAGUAACGCGUAUCCAACCUGCCCAUCACUUGGGAAUAACCUUGCGAAAGUAAGACUAAUGCCCAAUGACAUCCCACGAAGGCAUCCGAAUGGGAUUAAAGAUUUAUCGGUGAUGGAUGGGGAUGCGUCUGAUUAGCUUGUUGGCGGGGUGACGGCCCACCAAGGCAACGAUCAGUAGGGGUUCUGAGAGGAAGGUCCCCCACAUUGGAACUGAGACACGGUCCAAACUCCUACGGGAGGCAGCAGUGAGGAAUAUUGGUCAAUGGGCGAGAGCCUGAACCAGCCAAGUAGCGUGCAGGAUGACGGCCCUAUGGGUUGUAAACUGCUUUUAUAAGGGAAUAAAGUGGGUCACGUGUGACUUUUUGCAUGUACCUUAUGAAUAAGGACCGGCUAAUUCCG
rnacentral:rRNA from 1 species